AGGUCCUAUAGGGUGGGGUUACUUGGGCAGGGAUGGUGGGGGUUGUAAGUGAGGCCCAGGCUCUUAUCAGUGGAGCUGCACCAAAAACUGUCAUAUGAAAAAUAAAUCUGGAUUUAGAGUCAAUGUGAGGCCGAAGAGGUACAGAGAGAGGCCAGCAGACCCCGGGUGCUCAAAUGGGCCCAG
rnacentral:lncRNA from 1 species